CUUAUAAAUGUAAAGUACAGAACUUUCUCAGCUGUUGUGGGACCCUUAGUCAUCGUUGAAAAAGUGAAGGUUUUUGAAAAAAUUGGCACCGUUCAAUCCACUGGAGAGGCUGCUAUUCGAGAAGCCAUGGAGCAGCCACAAUAACCACCUUUCUGUGCGUAGAUCCGUCUACUCUCCAUGCUCGAGGAAUAUAACUUAUCAGGCAGUCAAGAGAGGAAGAACACCGAGACCUAUGGGUGUGUAGUUAUCUUCAUUCCAUCAGAAAGUUUUGGCCAAUAUAAUAUUUUCAAGCUAUAGGUUUCUGCAUGUUAAAAGAUCUGAUGAAGCUCCAGGAAACAGCUCAUAGCAGAAUGCACCAAUCAAAGACUUUCCUGGAAUGUCAACUGGUGCAGGUGGUGCUGCAACCAACGAAGACUUUCCUUGAGAGCCAGAAUACACCAGAUUCUUAAACCUAACAAGAAAGCCAAUCAGCGCUAGAUAGUGGACCUAUACCAACCGCAUCUCAAUGGAUCCUUCAGCAGAGGACUUGAAAUUGUUGGCGUACAAGUUUAAGAGCAAUCUGUUAAUAAACCAGUAUAAUUUCAGAUUGCUUGGCAUCCAAGUUAAAAAGUUUUGUACUAUAUUUAGCGAACUUACCUUACGAAAAAAAAUUUCAAUCUGCUUCUGGAGA